rnacentral:rRNA from 1 species
UACGGAGGGUGCAAGCGUUGUUCGGAUUUACUGGGCGUAAAGGGCGGGUAGGCGGCCACCGCAAGUCAGUUGUGAAAUCUCUGGCUUAACCCAGAAAGGUCAACUGAUACUGCGGGGCUAGAGUGCAGAAGGGGCAACUGGAAUUCUCGGUGUAGCGGUGAAAUGCGUAGAUAUCGAGAGGAACACCUGCGGCGAAGGCGGGUUGCUGGGCUGACACUGACGCUGAACUGCGAAAGCUAGGGGAGCGAACGGG